ensembl:snRNA U6 U6 spliceosomal RNA
GUGCUCACUUCAGCAGCACAUGUGCUAAAAUUGGAACGAUACAGAGAAGAUUAGCAUGGUCCCUGAGCAAGGAUGACACACACAUUUGUGAACUGUUCCAUAAAAUA